rnacentral:rRNA from 1 species
GUAGGGAAUCUUGCGCAAUGGGCGAAAGCCUGACGCAGCAACGCCGCGUGAGGGAUGAAUGCCUUCGGGUUGUAAACCUCUUUCAAGCAGGGACGAUAAUGACGGUACCUGCAGAAGAAGCUCCGGCCAACUACGUGCCAGCAGCCGCGGUAAUACGUAGGGAGCAAGCGUUGUCCGGAAUCAUUGGGCGUAAAGAGCUCGUAGGCGGUUUGCUAAGUCGGAUGUGAAACCUCCAGGCUCAACCUGGAGCCGCCAUUCGAUACUGGCAUGACUAGAGUCCGGUAGGGGCCCACGGAACUCCUGGUGUAGCGGUGAAAUGCGCAGAUAUCAGGAAGAACACCGAUGGCGAAGGCAGUGGGCUGGGCCGGCACUGACGCUGAGGAGCGAAAGCGUGGGGAGCGAACAGG